UCACAGCCUGAAUUUCUGAGUAUUUCUUGACCAGUAGUGACACAUUCCUCAGGCACUAAUAUAACCCAAAUGGAAACUACAGGUCCUAGGAAAUCCAGAUAGGUCACAAUGGGUUCAUGUGAAGAUCAAGGUGAGCCAGAAGAUCUCACCUGCAAGCCAUUUAGCAGCCCUUUAACUGUAAAAAGCAGCUCCACUUUCUAAGGCUACAGAGUUUAUUUACAUACAAGGUCUCUAUGUAACAUGCUGGAUUUCUUCCCACUGUCAUGGGUCAACCCACACUAGUCUCAGAAGUCAAGGGAAAGCUCUGCCAGCUAACCAUUUCUUAUCAAAGAGGGUGUGAAGAAACCUUGCAAUUUUAACAAUAACUAAGACCAGCAUGUAAGGUGGUCUUACAGAGAUCACUUGCAGGAAGAUAUUCAUAGGAACUUCAGAACUCAAACAGCACUCACAUAACAUGGAAUUUACGCUGAAAAUCCCAUGUCUUCUCUCUCAGAAAAGAGGGGAGCAUACCUGUGUGGAGAGCUUGUAUUUUCUCCCCUCCCAUCCAUUAGAUUUACAACUGAAUAGCGAAUGUGAACUUGAAACUAAUCUUUAAUAAAUCUAUAAAAUGCAAGAUAUUAUGACCAAGUUCUGUACUCGCUUUUUACGGAAGUGACUUCUACUUCAUCAACGUACGGUCUGUUCCUGAAGAAACCUCCUCUUUCUGGGUCAAAUUCUGACUGAGAAUGUAAAGGUAGGUUAUCUUUGAGCCUUGAGCUUGAAACGCCUACCUUUUCCUACCACUUGAUCUCUGUUGCCCUGUGAAAAUUCUGUAAACCUUCCUCAUUGCAUCUGAGGAAUCAUGCUGGAAUGCUUCUUUCUGGCUCGGAGGGUUCCAAGACCUCCCCAGCUAGUGGGCCUUGAAUGCUUCUUUCUGGCUCGGAGGGUUCCAAGACCUCCCCAGCUAGUGGACCUUCCUAGUCCUUAUGCUGUUGCUGUAGCAAUGGGGCAGUUCAAGUUUCCUGAUCAUGGCUGUGAAGCACUCUGGGGCACCUCUGCUCCUGGUAUUUCAGGGUGAUAUUACAUCACUGCUGCUAAUUUUGGUAGCUCUAAACUAUUCUCUCAAAGACCUCUAGGAACCUGAUAUUUAUGCUAAUAAUUACCCAGCAAGAAACAUUAGCUAUAGUUUUUUGCAAUAUCACUUUAUACAGCUAAAAUCACUUUGUAUAUGUAUAGUAACUCAUUGUAUAUAUUUGUCUCUUAUGAAUAUGUGCUUAUUAUAUCUAUAAAUCAACCAGUAUAUAAUUAACAAAAACAAAUGAUUUUUUAGCCUUUUAAUGCAAAAAAUUUAAAUUUAGUAUUACAUAUGAUCUGGCUAAGAGCAAGAGGCCUUCUUAUGAGUGAUCUCCAUCACCCUGUACAGUGCCUGGAACAGAACCUACAGUUUAGCCAACUCUCAAUAAAUGUUUUAGUGAAUGAAUGAAUGAUUGACUAAAGAAAAACAUGAGUUACUUAGCGACCAAAUCUAACACUCAGUGGAAUAGCUGAUUAUAAUCACUAAAGGAUUCGUAAUAGAAAUAGAGAUCUGUAUGCAGUCUACUCCACAGAAACAGUCAGAAGAUCUCAUGGUAGCCUUUUCUAAAUGAAAUUUUUCUUAAGCAGUGUAAGAAUAAAUUUAAACUAAUUAUAAUUAUCAGUGACUUCUUAGGGAGAUGUUUUAGGAAAAAUUA
rnacentral:lncRNA from 1 species